UGGAUUUUUUUCAAUAAAAGAUACACCUAGUGUGUCUGCCUCUCCUGUGUCCCCUGCCACCUCCUUCACCUCUUCUGCCUCUGCUACCCUUGAGACAACAAGCCCAACCCCUCCUCUUCUUCCUCUUCCUCAGCCUACUCAGCAUGGAGACAAUGGGAAUGAAGACCUUUAUGAUGAUUCAUUUUCGCUUUACAAAUAGUGAAUUUAUUUUCUCUUCCAUAUAAUUCUGCUAAUAACAUUUC
rnacentral:lncRNA from 1 species